rnacentral:rRNA from 1 species
AGCGAACGCUGGCGGCAGGCUUAACACAUGCAAGUCGAGCGGGCGUAGCAAUACGUCAGCGGCAGACGGGUGAGUAACGCGUGGGAACAUACCUUUUGGUUCGGAACAACACAGGGAAACUUGUGCUAAUACCGGAUAAGCCCUUACGGGGAAAGAUUUAUCGCCGAAAGAUUGGCCCGCGUCUGAUUAGCUAGUUGGUGAGGUAACGGCUCACCAAGGCGACGAUCAGUAGCNGGUCUGAGAGGAUGAUCAGCCACAUUGGGACUGAGACACGGCCCAAACUCCUACGGGAGGCAGCAGUGGGGAAUAUUGGACAAUGGGCGCAAGCCUGAUCCAGCCAUGCCGCGUGAGUGAUGAAGGCCCUAGGGUUGUAAAGCUCUUUUGUGC